rnacentral:rRNA from 1 species
AGUGAACGCUGGCGGUAGGCCUAACACAUUCAAGUCGAACGGCAGCACAGGAGAGCUUGCUCUCUGGGUGGCGAGUGGCGGACGGGUGAGGAAUACAUCGGAAUCUACUCUGUCGUGGGGGAUAACGUAGGGAAACUUACGCUAAUACCGCAUACGACCUACGGGUGAAAGCAGGGGAUCUUCGGACCUUGCGCGAUUGAAUGAGCCGAUGUCGGAUUAGCUAGUUGGCGGGGUAAAGGCCCACCAAGGCGACGAUCCGUAGCUGGUCUGAGAGGAUGAUCAGCCACACUGGAACUGAGACACGGUCCAGACUCCUACGGAAGGCAGCAGUGGGGAAUAUUGGACAAUGGGCGCAAGCCUGAUCCAGCCAUACCGCGUGGGUGAAGAAGGCCUUCGGGUUGUAAAGCCCUUUUGUUGGGAAAGAAAUCCAGCUGGCUAAUACCCGGUUGGGAUGACGGUACCCAAAGAAUAAGCACCGGCUAACUUCGUGCCAGCCGCCGCCGUAA